CAAGGCACGAGAAGAGAGCAGCCCGGCUCGGGAAGGGCCGCGGCCGCCGCUCCGAGGGGUGCGCGUCUCCACCCGCGGGGGGCGGCGGCUCCCGGGAUAAGGGACCCGCCCGGGACGGCACUGCGCUGCCGCUGCCGCCUGAAGUUUCACCCAAGGGAUGAGAAGGACAAGCGAGCGUGAGCCGGCCGCGUCCGGGCAUCCCAGGAACCCCGGAACAUUUUCUUUUACUUUUUUAAAUUAAUUUCUCCACCAGGUUCCAGCAGGUUGUGCAGGGGAAGCCGCCUCGGGUGUGUGUGCGCGCUCAUCUGAGCAGGUCGGAUGUGAUCUGAUCUGCCGGCUGUGCUCACAUCCCCCGCCCAGGGCACCUGGGAUGGGCACCCUGCCGCCACACUCCGCAUCCCGGCCCAUGCCGUCUGUAUUACUAAUCUAUCGAACGUUUCAAAUCCUGGAUUUCUACAAAGGCAGGGAAAAAAAACCAAAAAAAAAACCCGAAAGAAGAUACUGAUAUCCGUAUUUCUGAAUAUGAGUCAAACCAGGUGUCUAAAUCCACAAACAAGAGGGAAAUAAAAGAAAAGCUAAUUCCCAAUGCUUCCCAGUGUUCAAAAAUGCCAUUGAAGUGAGUGGGUAAUGCAGCUACAAGAGUCUGCGCCAGAGAAUACCAAAGUUUCUGCUGAGGUGCCUAAAGGGAUGUUCAGAGAAACUUUGUGUGAAAACACUUAGCUUUGUAAUGCAAGAAUAAAGAAUGCUUUAGAAAUUGUUAAUUUAAGGAUUAUUUUCAGAGGAGUUGUUCAAUGAGCAAAGCCAACACAAAAAUACGUAUUUGUGGGUAUUUGGAAAGAUCCUUAAAGUGUGCAGUGAGCCUACAACAUUGCAAUAUUUCUUGUAUUUAGGUGUGUUAGUGAUGUCCCAUAAGGAACACUUCUAUUCAAAGAGAAGGUCAACAAGAAAAGCUUGAAGAAAUAUUUCAAAAUAGUGAAAGAGUGCAAUAGUGAAAAAUAGUGAAAGUAUUUUGCCUUAGGUUUGAGGGCAGGUAAAAGGAGACAGUUAAAUUUUUAGAAUUUGAGUGUUUAGGUGACCUUUGAAGACCCCUUCCAACACAAAUUAUUCUGAUACCCUGAGUCUCAAUACUGUUUAGAAUUAACAUGGUGUCCUAGUUUAGGGACAAAAUUAAAAGAAAGUAGCAUUAACAACCUACCAAGGUUUGCUUUUUGGGUAAGGGGUGAGAAUUCAGGCUUUAAUUCUUUUGCAGUUCCUGGUUGAGUAGUAAGAUGCUUCCCAACUAGACUGCCAUAAGGAGUCCAGUGCAGGACAUCCUGUAUAAAGGGGCCCAGGUGAAGAUGAGUCAUUUGGAGCAGUCAAAAAACUUUUCACAUGUCAAUGGGAAAGGCCAAUUAAUGGCAAAAGUGAACUGAAAAUCCUUCCCUUGCUUCUGCUGUUGCAUGGUACAGAUUUGGGGUUUUACACCAGGCUUUUCUCAGACAACCCCAGCAGCACAUGUUUUUAUAUGCUUCUAUCUGUGCAGGCACUCUCCAGACUUGUGAGCGCUUGUGCAUCCUCACGUACACCUGUGUGCACAUCAGGCAGCUUCGCCUCCUGCCAGCCUUGAACUCUACAAGUCACAGGAAACUGUUGGGGAACCAAACAGCUAAAAAGGAUGGAUGGCAUUCCCUCCACAGUGUCCCUGCACCAGCUUUUAAUUUGAAUUUUAACAGAAUUUCCAGGGGAACAACUUUGUAGGAACAGUGUUCAUUCUUCUACACACAGAUUAAAUUUUUAUAACUUUGUGUAUUAUUCUGAAUUCCAAAUAAAAUCUUAACCGUUGUGCUUUUUCAGAUGUUUGCAAACAUACUAAAUGCAAUAAAGGAUGGCAAAAAUAUUAAAUAUGAAAGAAA